rnacentral:rRNA from 1 species
CGGCGGCCGUAACUAUAACGGUCCUAAGGUAGCGAAAUUCCUUGUCGGGUAAGUUCCGACCUGCACGAAUGGCGUAAUGAUGGCCAGGCUGUCUCCACCCGAGACUCAGUGAAAUUGAACUCGCUGUGAAGAUGCAGUGUACCCGCGGCAAGACGGAAAGACCCCGUGAACCUUUACUAUAGCUUGACACUGAACACUGGUCCUUGAUGUGUAGGAUAGGUGGGAGGCUUUGAAGCGUGGACGCCAGUCUGCGUGGAGCCRMCCUUGAAAUACCACCCUUUAAUGGCUGGUGUUCUAACGUAGACCCGUUACCCGGGUUGCGGACAGUGUCUGGUGGGUAGUUUGACUGGGGCGGUCUCCUCCCAAAGAGUAACGGAGGAGCACGAAGGUUGGCUAAUCCUGGUCGGACAUCAGGAGGUUAGUGCAAUGGCAUAAGCCAGCUUGACUGCGAGCGUGACGGCGCGAGCAGGUGCGAAAGCAGGUCAUAGUGAUCCGGUGGUUCUGAAUGGAAGGGCCAUCGCUCAACGGAUAAAAGGUACUCCGGGGAUAACAGGCUGAUACCGCCCAAGAGUUCAUAUCGACGGCGGUGUUUGGCACCUCGAUGUC